UACAGAGGUCUCAAGCGUUGUUCGGAUUCAUUGGGCGUAAAGGGUGCGUAGGCGGCGCGGUAAGUCGGGUGUGAAAUCUCGGAGCUUAACUCCGAAACUGCAUUCGAUACUGCCGUGCUUGAGGACUGGAGAGGAGACUGGAAUUUACGGUGUAGCGGUGAAAUGCGUAGAUAAUCGUAAGGAAGACCAGUGGCGAAGGCGGGUCUCUGGACAGUUCCUGACACUGAGGCACGAAAGCUAGGGGAGCAAACAGG
rnacentral:rRNA from 1 species